AAAGCAAGUCUACAAAAGGGAGUAGCCGGUUUCGAGCCUGACGGUGGAGCUGACGCGGGAAUGAGACAGAACCUGAGAGGACCGCCAGGGCGCCCUCCCUGCGGAGGCGAGUCCCUCACCGCCCCUCUACAUCGUCCUUUUCAAUAAGGAGCUCUUAAUACCUGCAACUGCUUCCUUCAAGGGGUGUCUCGAAGAUCAGAAGGCAAGGCCUGCGGACUGCGCACCUUAAAGCGCUUCGGGACCGUAAGACAGUGAGUGCUGGGCGCGGCCGGGAAGAAGCCUAGGGGCUCUGAGCUCGGAGGGCAGAGACCGAAGCCCCGGGGCCUGCGUCCCUCACAACCUGCGCCUCCUGUCCUCCCGCGCUACUUCCGAAGCAAACCUUCUCGCCCGCAGGCCGCAGAAGUGAUGGCGCAAAGCCCUCGGGGCCUCCGCCACCUCCUCACGCUUCUGGUGGACCGAAUCCUUGGAAGGGACAGAUUUGUGACCCAGAAGGAAAUCUCUGACCUCAGCUGUGGCUCUUGGUGCUGGCCAGAAGCCAACUUCAUGUCUGAGUGCACGAGCAGCAGUUUGCUAUGGAGAGCUUGGGGCUGCAGACGGUGACCCUUAGUGAUGGGACAACAGCCUACGUCCAGCAAGCUGUCAAAGGAGAGAAGCUUCUUGAAGGGCAGGUGAUCCAGCUCGAGGAUGGGACCACCGCAUACAUUCACCAGGUGACAGUACAGAAAGAAGCUCUCUCCUUUGAGGAUGGUCAGCCUGUGCAGCUGGAAGAUGGCAGCAUGGCUUACAUACACCGCACACCCAGAGAAGGCUAUGACCCCAGCGCCCUGGAAGCCGUCCAGCUGGAAGAUGGCUCCACUGCCUACAUUCACCACCCUGUGGCUGUGCCAUCAGACAGCACCAUCCUGGCCGUACAGACAGAGGUGGGCUUGGAGGACCUGGCAGCAGAGGAUGAUGAGGGCUUCAGUGCAGACACAGUGGUGGCCCUGGAGCAGUAUGCCAGCAAGGUGAGCACGCAGAGCCUGACACGGUCUGUCACUCUUAGACAACGGGGCCUGGCCUGCGCACUGCCUCUUGGCCCUGCCAGAACUUCACCUCUCAAGAGGACAAGGGCAGCCCUGUGCUUGGGCACCAUGUGGGAUAUUCUCUUUGCCCCUCCACCCCAGCUCCCCCAGCUCACCUGUCACACAUCAUUGUCUAGGGCGUGCAACACAGCCUGGCCUGGCCGCUGACAGCUGUUUACGCUCACUUUUGUUUACGCUGUCUCUGCAGAGGGAAGGCUGCCAUAAGAAACAGUGGCAUCCUUAUGCUGGGGAGUUAGGCCCAGCUUCACUUUGGCUGCUGUAGUAAUCCUCUGCACUAGCUGGGAAAGCCCUGCCAGUGACUUGUGUUAGCUUUCUAGUCCACUGAGGUAAUGUAUUUAUUUCUUCUCUGUGACUCACUGAGUCAUUUGGAAAAUUAACCUCAGUGGGCUAUGACAA
rnacentral:sRNA from 1 species